AGGUAUUUCUCCAGGUAACUCUGAAAAACAUAGCUUCAUAUCAAGGGAAACCGGUGUGAAUCCGGUACGGUCCCGCCACUGUGAGCGGUACGAACUCUGCGAGUGCCACUGGGUAACCGGGAAGGCGCAGACAUUAGGUUGAUCCGCAAGUCAGGAGACCUGAGUGAAGCUCAGAUAUCACC
rnacentral:ncRNA from 23 species